rnacentral:rRNA from 1 species
UACGAAGGGUGCAAGCGUUAAUCGGAAUUACUGGGCGUAAAGGGUGCGUAGGCGGUUCGUUAAGUCUGUCGUGAAAUCCCCGGGCUCAACCUGGGAAUGGCGAUGGAUACUGGCGAGCUAGAGUGUGUCAGAGGAUGGUGGAAUUCCCGGCGUAGCGGUGAAAUGCGUAGAGAUCAGGAGGAACACCUGUGGUGUAGACAGCUUACUGGACGGUGACUGACGCUGAGGCACGAAAGCGUGGGUAGCAAACAGG